AACGAACGCUGGCGGCAUGCCUAACACAUGCAAGUCGAACGAGACCUUCGGGUCUAGUGGCGCACGGGUGCGUAACGCGUGGGAACCUGCCCUUAGGUUCGGAAUAACUCCCCGAAAGGGGUGCUAAUACCGGAUAAUGUCUUCGGACCAAAGAUUUAUCGCCUUUGGAUGGGCCCGCGUUGGAUUAGCUAGUUGGUAGGGUAAAAGCCUACCAAGGCGACGAUCCAUAGCUGGUCUGAGAAGAUGAUCAGCCACACUGGGACUGAGACACGGCCCAGACUCCUACGGGAGGCAGCGGUGGGGAAUAUUGGACAAUGGGCGAAAGCCUAAUCCAGCAAUGCCGCGUGAGUGAUGAAGGCCUUAGGGUUGUAAAGCUCUUUUACCCGGGAUGAUAAUGACAGUACCGGGAGAAUAAGCUCCGGCUAACUCCGUG
rnacentral:rRNA from 1 species